rnacentral:rRNA from 1 species
GACGAACGCUGGCGGCGUGCCUAAUACAUGCAAGUCGAGCGAAGUUUUUCUGGUGCUUGCACUAGAAAAACUUAGCGGCGAACGGGUGAGUAACACGUAAAGAACCUGCCUCAUAGACUGGGACAACUAUUGGAAACGAUAGCUAAUACCGGAUAACAGUAUUUCUCGCAUGAGAGAUAUUUAAAAGUUGGUUAUGCUAACACUAUGAGAUGGCUUUGCGGUGCAUUAGCUAGUUGGUGGGGUAAAGGCCCACCGAGGCGACGAUGCAUAGCCGACCUGAGAGGGUGAUCGGCCACACUGGGACUGAGACACGGCCCAGACUCCUACGGGAGGCAGCAGUAGGGAAUCUUCCGCAAUGGGCGAAAGCCUGACGGAGCAACGCCGCGUGAGUGAAGAAGGAUUUCGGCUCGUAAAGCUCUGUUGUUAGGGAAGAAUGGAUAUGUAGUAACUAUACAUGUAAGAGACGGUACCUAACCAGAAAGCCACGGCUAACUACGUG